rnacentral:snRNA from 1 species
GUGCUCACUGCGGCAGCAGAUAUACUAAACGUGGGACGAUACAGAAAAGAUUAGCAUGGCCC